rnacentral:rRNA from 1 species
UACGAAGGGGGCUAGCGUUGCUCGGAAUCACUGGGCGUAAAGGGCGCGUAGGCGGCCAUUCAAGUCGGGGGUGAAAGCCCAGGGCUCAACCCUGGAAUUGCCUUCGAUACUGUUUGGCUAGAGACCGGAAGAGGUAAGUGGAACUGCGAGUGUAGAGGUGAAAUUCGUAGAUAUUCGCAAGAACACCAGUGGCGAAGGCGGCUUACUGGUCCGGUUCUGACGCUUAGGCGCGAAAGCGUGGGGAGCAAACAGG